rnacentral:lncRNA from 1 species
UUAAAUGUUUUCUAAGUGUCUUAACUUAUUUAUUUAAGUUAUUAUUUGUCUAAUUAGUUAUAUAUAUGCUUAUUAUAUGAUAACUAGGCUCGUGCGUGUAAACCAGUCUCCGUUUGUCACCUAGCACGGUAGCCGACACUGCAAUUCAAACGACUCACCACAAGUGAGUUCAUACCCCUUGAAUCAACCUUUGAAAUGAUUUUAAAUGUUUUAUAACACUUUAUGGGGGGGAAUACAAGUCAAAUACUUAUAAGUUAUUACUUCAAUCACAUGUGAUUGUGUUUAAUCACAUGUGAUUAAUAACUAGGAAAACAACGAUUUUCACACUGUUCAAACUGUUUUUCAACUGCUUUACUAUUGAAAUGUUUUACAAACUCUUGUACUAUCCAAACUUACUUAUAGACUGUGAUUCAGUCAAAUGCUUCUUAUACUUAAACUGUUUUAUCAACUUAUGCUUCAAAAUGUUUUAUGAAAACUUAUUUAUGCUUUAUAUAUACAAUUGCAUGCCCAUAUAUGUAUAGAUAUAUAAAUAAUGUUCAAAAGGCUUAGGAAUGCCAUCCGCCCUAUUUCCUUUUCCUCGAUUUGGAUGUGGUCUGGUGGGAUUUCGGGUGACCAUCCGAAGGUCGUUUCCAUAUUACUUAUAUAUCAUAUAUACAUGUAUAGACAUAAAAGUACUUCCAUAUUCAUACUCAUCAGUACAUCAUUAGCUGGUUACCAUCGGGGUAACGCAGGAUCAUUACAUAUACAGAUAUACUAGAAACAAUACAUAUACAGAUAUACUAGAAACAAUACAUAUACAGAUAUACUAGAAACAAUACAUAUACAGAUAUACUAGAAACAAUACAUAUACAGAAAUACUAGAAACAAUACAUAUACAGAAAUACUAGAAACAAUACAUAUACAGAUAUACGAGAAACAAUACAUAUACAUAAAUACGAAAUAAUUGUGAUCCACUGUAUCGGGCAUGCCUUAAAUGUCAUGGCCCGAGUUGUAGCCAGAAUUCUCUUGGAGGGAGAGCGUGAGUUUGCGUAUAGAUCUAUACUGGAUUGACUAUCCUACACCUUGCUGCUAGCUACAGCCGGACCUGCAGGUCUGCGGGUGCCAAACGUCAUUUCUUUUUUUACGACCAUUCAUUAUGUCGUUGUUACCAGUCGAUAGCAUGGUGCAAUUUAUCACAUUAUGCCUUAAUAUAAAUCCGGUUUAAGGUAGUAGUAUUUAGUACAGCAGUAGUCUUAUUAUACAAAGCUACAGUACUACAAUGAUUU